rnacentral:tRNA from 1 species
AGCUUUAUAGUUUAAGAUAAAACACUAAGUUGCAAGCUUUGGGAUACUUUAGUUAGAGCUU